GAUGAACGCUAGCGGCAGGCCUAAUACAUGCAAGUCGAACGGGAUCCAGAUCAAAGCUUGCUUUGGUCUGGUGAGAGUGGCGCACGGGUGCGUAACGCGUGAGCAACCUACCCUUGUCAGGGGGAUAGCCCGGCGAAAGUCGGAUUAAUACCGCAUGACAUCAUUGAGAGGCAUCUUUCGAUGAUCAAAGAUUUAUCGGACAAGGAUGGGCUCGCGUGACAUUAGCUAGUUGGUAAGGUAACGGCUUACCAAGGCUGCGAUGUCUAGGGGCUCUGAGAGGAGAAUCCCCCACACUGGUACUGAGACACGGACCAGACUCCUACGGGAGGCAGCAGUAAGGAAUAUUGGUCAAUGGACGGAAGUCUGAACCAGCCAUGACGCGUGCAGGAGGACGGCCCUAUGGGUUGUAAACUGCUUUUAUACGGGAACAAACGUCGGUACGUGUACCGGUCUGAGUGUACCGUAAGAAUAAGGAUCGGCUAACUCCGUG
rnacentral:rRNA from 1 species